rnacentral:rRNA from 1 species
CCAUCGCAUACUUAGUACGGCGAGUGAAGCGGUAAAAGCUCAAAUUUGAAAUCUGGUACUUUCAGUGCCCGAGUUGUAAUUUGUAGAAUUUGUCUUUGAUUAGGUCCUUGUCUAUGUUCCUUGGAACAGGACGUCAUAGAGGGUGAGAAUCCCGUUUGGCGAGGAUACCUUUUCUCUGUAAGACUUUUUCGAAGAGUCGAGUUGUUUGGGAAUGCAGCUCAAAGUGGGUGGUAAAUUCCAUCUAAAGCUAAAUAUUGGCGAGAGACCGAUAGCGAACAAGUACAGUGAUGGAAAGAUGAAAAGAACUUUGAAAAGAGAGUGAAAAAGUACGUGAAAUUGUUGAAAGGGAAGGGCAUUUGAUCAGACAUGGUGUUUUUUGCAUGCACUCGCCUCUCGUGGGCUUGGGCCUCUCAAAAAUUUCACUGGGCCAACAUCAAUUCUGGCAGUAGGAUAAAUCAUUAAGAAUGUAGCUACCUCGGUAGUGUUAUAGCUUAUUGGAAUACUGCUAGCUGGGAUUGAGGACUGCGCUUCGGCAAGGAUGUUGGCAUAAUGGUUAAAUGCCGCCCGUCUUGAACC